rnacentral:rRNA from 1 species
UACGUAGGGGGCAAGCGUUGUCCAGAUUUAUUGGGCGUAAAGAGCGUGUAGGCGGUUUGGUAGGUCCGCUGUGAAAACUCGAGGCUCAACCUCGAGACGCCGGUGGAAACCAUCAGACUAGAGUCCGGAAGAGGAGAGUGGAAUUCCUGGUGUAGCGGUGAAAUGCGCAGAUAUCAGGAAGAACACCCGUGGCUAAGGCGGCUCUCUAGUACGGUACUGACGCUGAGACGCGAAAGCGUGGGGAGCGAACAGG